UACAGAGGGGGCAAGCGUUGUUCGGAAUUAUUGGGCGUAAAGGGCGCGUAGGCGGUGCGGUAAGUCACUUGUGAAAUCUCUGGGCUCAACUCAGAGUCUGCAAGCGAAACUGCCGUGCUUGAGUAUGGGAGAGGUAUGUGGAAUUCCCGGUGUAGCGGUGAAAUGCGUUAGAUAUCGGGAGGAACACCCGUGGCGAAAGCGGCUCUCUGGGGACGGUACUG
rnacentral:rRNA from 1 species